rnacentral:rRNA from 1 species
AGAACGAACGCUGGCGGCAUGCCUAAUACAUGCAAGUCGAACGAACACUUCGGUGUUAGUGGCGCACGGGUGCGUAACGCGUGGGAAUCUGCCCUUGGGUUCGGAAUAACAGUUGGAAACGACUGCUAAUACCGGAUGAUAUCGAAAGAUCAAAGAUUUAUCGCCCAGGGAUGAGCCCGCGUAGGAUUAGCUAGUUGGUGAGGUAAAGGCUCACCAAGGCGACGAUCCUUAGCUGGUCUGAGAGGAUGAUCAGCCACACUGGGACUGAGACGACCGGCCAGACCUCCGUACGGGAGCAGCGAGGUAGGGUAAUAGUAGGACGAAGUGGGACGACAAGGCCUAGACUCCAAGCAAGUCGCCGCGUGAAGUGAUGGAAGUCCGUUAGGGUAUAAGCGUUACGUUUAACCCGGAGUA